UAAAUAAUUACAUCAUAUAAGGAAACGAUCCAGCAACCCAAAGUUGACUGGGAGACGACGGCCUAGACCUCUCACGAACUCAUCGCAACAUCCUCCAUGAGCAUCAUCCUGCAGUACCUGGUCUUGACCUGAGGUGUAUGUGAGACAGCAAGAGUGAGCUCACAUACGUUCAUCGCUCAACAAGUUGUGGGGAAUAAUGUGCAUGAACUCGCCAAAGGUGGGAGCUCACGUGAAGUGUAAGGCUUACCAAAGAAAAUGGUUAGAGCUGAGCAUUGCUUUUAAAGUUGGUCAAAAUUUUAUUAGCAGUUACUAAGUAUAAGUGAAUAUCAAUCCCAAUUAAGUAGUAGAACAAAAAUAACAACUUCACCCGCGAUGCAAUGCAUAUGACAAAUUGAAUUUAGUUCCAUAAUUUAAUCAUCAGAGAGUCCUGAGCUGCUCAUGACCGUGAGCUCGGCUAGUAUACCAGUUUUACACUCUGCAGAGGUGGUACCCUUUACCCACAAGUCAUGUUACCCAUCUGCCAAGAGAUCGCGACUUCCCAUACACCUCUACCGAGGAGGCGAGGCAGGGUAACACUACGAGGCCUUUACAAAGUUCCACUAGCUUCAGAAAACCCGCUACAGUUUAUAGGAAGCUCCAAUGCAGGAAUCCCUUGCAGGACCGCCAUCACAGCAAAAUCCUCCCGAGGGCCUCCCCAGGAAUCCCUUGCAGGACCGCCAUCACAGCAAAAUCCUCCCGAGGGCCUUCCCAGGAAUCCCUUGCAGGACCGCCAUCACAGCAAAAUCCUCCCGAGGGCCUCCCUACACUGACCACUCCCCUACUGCCCUUGCCCCUUUCGGGUAAGGUAGUCCUCCACUAGCUUUCCUAAUUAGUCAGCCAAGGGCGUCCCAUUAAACCCUUGUGGUGGCACGUGGUUCUCAAGUUAAGCUCUAUGUUCCAAUUAACAUUUAAUGAUCUUGUCAUGAACAUAAAUAGAAUAACAACAUAAUUGGAACAUAGAUGCAAUGAAAUAUUAACCCAAAACCAUAUAAAGCAGUAGCAGAACUACCCAAGUGAUUGAGGGGUAAACAAGGUAUUCAGGAUGAACAAACUAGGGUGACCUAUUGGGUCCCAUCAAAAUUAACCUAUGCAGAUCAUUAUGAUUAAUCAGAACAUGAGUGGGUAAAAGAAGUGAUCAAGGGCACAACUUGCCUGAGACUUGAGAUUCCAGGUACCAGGAUGAUCUUCAGGUGACUCGUGACCUCGCGCUAGUCGUAGCAAUACAGACAAACAUGGUACAUGCAAAAUUAACAUAACACCAAACAUAAGAACAAACUGAAUAAUAAUGACCUACGCGUUGCUACGAGACUAACGCAGCUGGAACGAGUCAAAUCGGAUUUAAAACGGGGGAAUUAUGUAUUUUGCACAAUAUUAAGUAGGAUAUAAAUUUUAAUGUGACUUUCAUGUGAAAACAGUGACACUAGGUGAUAAACAACAUUAUUACAAAAUUAUAGGAAUUAGAAUGGAUC
rnacentral:lncRNA from 1 species